CCUCCCCACGAAGUUGCUCACGCUCUGUCUCUCGGGGUGGGGCCCGUGUGUUUCUCCCAGGACCCCCGUGCAUGCUCUCCCAACCCCCGCCUGACUUCUGCACCUUCUCUCCUGCCUCCCCACCUGGCGUCAGCCCAUUUCACAGGCUGCCCUUCGGAGCCACCAGGGUCAAGGACCGCGCUUGCCGCCCUCCAUGGCUUUGAGCCCCAAGGCGAUGGCUCACAGGCAACUGUCCAGGAGACCAUGGAGGCGGGGACCCUCCGCUUACAGUGUCCGAGUGCGGACCGCCCGCUCUAGCUCAUGGUCUGCUGGCUGCAGGCCCAUCCCCUGCCUGGGGGCCGGACGGCAGGCCCGGGUCCGGAGGGUCAUGGCCAGAGAGGGGCCCUCAGGUCCUGGGCUCCCUGCCACCAUGAAGACGGCGCACGCACGUGUGCGAAGGCCCGAGACACACGCCCGAAAGAAACAGGAAACAGGACAGCGUCAUCUUCCGCAGGCGAGCUCAGCCUGUGGCUCCACCGCGCUCCUCGAUUCUGGGCUCUCCCAGCACAGACUCCAGAGGGCAGUGUCCGCAGUCACUGACUGCCCCAGGGGCAGCAUCAGGGUCUUUUCCAAGGAGUCAGAGCUUCCCUGGUGUCCCUUCAACACUGCUUUCCUGGGCUCCCGAGCUGAGGCCUGCUCCUGCCCUCCUGCUGAAGGCCCUGCACACGACGUGAGGCCGGGCCAACCGGAACGACAGAGUCUGGAGCAGAGAAAGUUUCACCACGGGGCUGAGCCAGAGGGCUGGGCGGCUCUUCUCAGGAGACCCAGACUCCCCAUUGGGCUUGAGGAGUCUUAGGGGCAGGAUGUGGGGCAGGGCUGCAAGGUGUGUGCCUUCCUUUGAGGAGGGCGUGGGAGAUGAGGGCAAGUGCCCAGGACCCUGGGCUCAGCCUGCAGUCCGUCCUCGGGGCGGGGGCCUCCGUCCUUACAGCAGCGCCGGGCAUCCGGCUGUGAGUCCUGGGGGCACAGGACUCUGCCCCCGCCCCCAAGGCUGCACCUUUGUUUCCUGGCCGCCCCUCCCUUCCCUGAUUGGCUACUGCUGGAAUCUGCACUUGGGAGGGAAGAGAAGGUCUAGGAGGCUGAAUCCUUUCUCCAGGAGGAAAUGGGGGAACGCAGAAAGGUUUCGUACCCGAGAGGGCCCCACAGGGUCCUGACUGUUUUCACUCCUGGGUUGUCAGCUGGGGGCCUUGCAAUAUGACUGAUUAGCAAGAGGAAAUCGAGCGUUUACCCACGGGGGCACCUCCUGUCCACAGCGGAGGCGCCUAGGCGGAGAGCACCUCAAAGAGGAGCCUGGAGUUCAGGAAGAAGAACCGUCUCCCGCUGGGCGUCCCUGGGGCUCAGACAGCAGAGGGUCCGCCCGGAAUGCCAGAGAUUCGAGUUCGAUCUCUGGGUCGGGAAGAUUCCCUUGGAGGAGGGCAUGGCUACCCACCCCAGUAUUCUUGCCUGGAGACUCCCAUGGACAGAAGAGCCUGGCGGGCUACAGUCCACGGGGUCGCAGAGUCAGACAGGACUGAGUGACUAACACUUUCAGCAUCUUCAGUUAAGGCUGAGAAAGUGUGUGGAGGCCAGUUGCAGGAAGGGGACUCAGAAUGAUUAACAGAUACAGAUACAGUCGUGCAGACUUCAGUCUCCGCUGAUUUGGUAUCAGCCUUCUCUCCUGACUCAGACAGGAGACUCCCUUACAAACAGAGAUUUCCCUUGUGGAUGAAAAAGCAUUUCUGCCAUAUCAGUAAACAAUGUUGCAGACAGCCGGCCCUUGUACCACGGUGCCCUGCAAGCCCAGUCUGGCGCCAGGGGGUGAGCUGCCAAGGACAAAGCUCACGUUGCCGGAGCGACUGCAGGUCUUCGCUCAGAACCUGGAAACCCUCACCUUCGGCAGGAGUGGACGUGAAACUCUGAGGUACUAGAUGGCAAACCUAGCAGCGGCCGUGGGAGGAUGCAGACCGGAAAAGCAUGAGACGGGCCGGCAGCCCUCUCCCUCAGAAAAGCCCGACGCCUCCCCGUCCUCAGCAUCGCUCCUCCUCCUCUGUCUCUCCUCUUGGGAAUUAAACCGCCCUCUCCAGGUGGGGCGAGAAUUGCUCUGUGAACUCGGUUCCUGCUUUUCCGUUCUUUCCACUGAAUUAAACCUGCGCUGUGUUGAUCUCUACUUGGUUUUAGCUGCUCCAGCCUGAAUGGGAAAGGAACGUCUCCUGCCAAGGCAGGGAGCCGCGGCCUGGCUGGGGCCUGAGCAGGGUCCCCACAGAUCAACUCGGUAGCAUGUGGAGGACCCCGGCCUGAGGCAGGAUCAGACUCUGGGGAGACGCAGCCUCAGGUGGGUGAGGAGGAGCUAAGACACUGAGCCCGUCCGUGGAUCAAGCAUGAGACAGGCCGAGAUUCAGAUCCAGACUCAGGAGACAUGCUCUCAUUGUGGAAAGAGAAAGGGAUUCUCCCCCUUGUUCUGCAGGAAAGAAAAAAUUCAAAAACGUGUCCAUGAGUUAAUCUUUCGAGCUUUUAUCAGAUAAGCCGAAAGUAUUUAAGAACAUUUUCGAAUCAACACUUCACUGGAUUCCCAGAAAUACUUUUGUAUUUUGGCAAUACAGCAAACGAUAAGACGUGAUUCCCAGCACAAGUGAACUGCAGAGUUCCGGCUCCUCUAGCCCUGGAGACGCAAGGCGGGAGCAGGAAGUCUGCUUGCUUCCGGUUAAGCAGCCGGUCUGGCCCCGUCAGUGCGGCAGCAGGUAGAACACAAGCGGGCGAGGAAGGGAGAUCUCAGGGAGACGCGUGGGGGUCUGCACCGGCAGGCAAGGGAGCAGCCUGUGAGUAUCGGUGUGAAGAAAAACUCACGUCUUAUGGCGAGACGAGGAAAAGUAAGCGUGGGAAGUCUCUGCCCUCUGGCCUCCUCUCCUGCACUGGGCAUCUCCUGGACCACCACAUUGGCAGGAACACCCGCCCAGCUGAAGAGCAGCCUCCCGCCAGCAUCAGCAAGACGACUCUUUAUCGACAGCACUUGUUGGUAAUCUCAGAAGAGGUCACAUGACCCACUGCAAUGAUGCCGUUUGCGUCUGACUAAGAACUGUUGCUUUGAUGUACAGUCCUGUGUCUCAGAACUCGUGUGUAACUGUGCCUUGAUUUCUGGUGGGUGGACCAGUUCUCAGGGCUUUCCGAGACGCUCCUCAGGUCAUAAUCCUUGACUCUGGCUCAAAUAAAGCUUUCCAUUUUUUUCUUAGAUCGACUGAUUAAUUGUUCAUCAAGUUUAACUUCUUAUUUUCCGGAUCCUCCUGAUGAUAAUCUAUUCCCUUCUUGCUUCUUUAUAACCAAGAGCCU
ensembl:lncRNA